UACGUAGGUGGCAAGCGUUGUCCGGAUUUACUGGGCGUAAAGAGCGCGCAGGCGGUCGUUCAAGUCGCGUGUGAAAGUCCCCGGCUCAACUGGGGAGGGUCACGCGAUACUGAUCGACUCGAAGGCAGGAGAGGGUAGUGGAAUUCCCGGUGUAGUGGUGAAAUGCGCAGAUAUCAGGAGGAACACCGGUGGCGAAGGCGGGUCUCUGGGCCGAUACUGACGCUGAGGAGCGAAAGCGUGGGGAGCGAACAGG
rnacentral:rRNA from 1 species